ACCUGGGUGGCUUAGUUGGUGAAGCAAACAGACUUCAGCUCAGCUCAUGAUCUCACAGUUCGUGGGUUCGAGUCCCGCUUCGGAUG
rnacentral:tRNA from 1 species